GUUUUAAUCCUUUUCUUUUUA
rnacentral:tRNA from 1 species